rnacentral:rRNA from 1 species
UAAGGAAUAUUGGUCAAUGGAGGCAACUCUGAACCAGCCAUGCCGCGUGCAGGAAGAAGGCGCUACGCGUUGUAAACUGCUUUUGUACAAGAGAAAACUUCUGCUCGUGAGCGGAACUGAUAGUAUUGUAAGAAUAAGCAUCGGCUAACUUCGUGCCAGCAGCCGCGGUAAGACGAAGGAUGCAAGCGUUAUCCGGAUUCAUUGGGUUUAAAGGGUGCGUAGGCGGCCCUGUAAGUCAGUGGUGAAAGCCCUCCGCUUAACGGAGGAACUGCCAUUGAUACUGCAAGGCUUGAGUACAGAUGAUGUUGGCGGAAUAUGACAUGUAGCGGUGAAAUGCAUAGAUAUGUCAUAGAACACCGAUUGCGAAGGCAGCUGACAAAACUGUAACUGACGCUGAGGCACGAAAGUGUGGGGAUCAAACAG